GACGAACGCUGGCGGCGUGCUUAACACAUGCAAGUCGAACGGUGAAGCGCCUUCCUUUUUGGUGGGCGUGGAUGAGUGGCGAACGGGUGAGUAACACGUGAGUAACCUGCCCCCUUCUUCUGGAUAACCGCAUGAAAGUGUGGCUAAUACGGGAUAUUCUGGGUCUGUCGCAUGAUGGGUCUGGGAAAGAUAUUGUUUCGGUGGGGGAUGGGCUCGCGACCUAUCAGCUUGUUGGUGGGGUGAUGGCCUACCAAGGCGGUGACGGGUAGCCGGCCUGAGAGGGUGGACGGUCACACUGGGACUGAGACACGGCCCAGACUCCUACGGGAGGCAGCAGUGGGGAAUAUUGCACAAUGGGCGCAAGCCUGAUGCAGCGACGCCGCGUGAGGGAUGGAGGCCUUCGGGUUGUGAACCUCUUUCGCCAGUGAAGCAGGCCUGCCUCGUUUGUGGGUGGGUUGACGGUAGCUGGAUAAGAAGCGCCGGCUAACUACGUG
rnacentral:rRNA from 1 species